UAAAGAUUCAUCGCUGAUAGAUAGGCAUGCGUUCCAUUAGGCAGUUGGCGGGGUAACGGCCCACCAAACCGACGAUGGAUAGGGGUUCUGAGAGGAAGGUCCCCCACAUUGGUACUGAGACACGGACCAAACUCCUACGGGAGGCAGCAGUGAGGAAUAUUGGUCAAUGGGCGUAAGCCUGAACCAGCCAAGUCGCGUGAGGGAUGAAGGUUCUAUGGAUCGUAAACCUCUUUUAUAAGGGAAUAAAGUGUGGGACGUGUCCUAUUUUGUAUGUACCUUAUGAAUAAGGAUCGGCUAACUCCGUGCCAGCAGCCGCGGUAAUACGGAGGAUCCGAGCGUUAUCCGGAUUUAUCGGGUUUAAAGGGUGCGUAGGCGGCCUUUUAAGUCAGCGGUGAAAGUCUGUGGCUCAACCAUAGAAUUGCCGUUGAAACUGGGGGGCUUGAGUAUGUUUGAGGCAGGCGGAAUGCGUGGUGUAGCGGUGAAAUGCUUAGAUAUCACGCAGAACCCCGAUUGCGAAGGCAGCCUGCCAAGCCAUGACUGACGCUGAUGCACGAAAGCGUGGGGAUCAAACAGGAUUAGAUACCCUGGUAGUCCACGCAGUA
rnacentral:rRNA from 1 species